rnacentral:lncRNA from 1 species
GACAACUCUUUGCCCAGAUGCUUCUCUAAGCAUAUUGCAGCCACUUGGUCUUUAAGUCAUAUGGGCUCACCUAACAGUUAUUGCCCGUACUUCUUAGUUAAAUCAGAUCUACCAUUCACAAGCAGGUGUAAAGCCGUCAUUGAGUUCCUCACCUAAUAGUUAUUGGGCUCAACCACAUCUUUAUCCCGCAGUAACUCUUUGCUAAUAGAGUGGUUGC